rnacentral:tRNA from 1 species
AAAGUUGAGUCACAAUGGAUUGAGAAUCUGACUUGGAAUCAGAAAGAAGUGAGUUCAAAUCUAACAGACAUUU